GACGAACGCUGGCGGCGUGCCUAAUACAUGCAAGUCGAACGAGAGCAACCGGUGCUUGCACUGGUCAAUCUAGUGGCAAACGGGUGAGUAACACGUGGGUAACCUGCCCAUCAGAGGGGGAUAACAUCCGGAAACGGAUGCUAAAACCGCAUAGGUCUUCGAACCGCAUGGUUUGAAGAGGAAAAGAGGCGCAAGCUUCUGCUGAUGGAUGGACCCGCGGUGCAUUAGCUAGUUGGUGAGGUAACGGCUCACCAAGGCCGUGAUGCAUAGCCGACCUGAGAGGGUGAUCGGCCACAUUGGGACUGAGACACGGCCCAAACUCCUACGGGAGGCAGCAGUAGGGAAUCUUCCGCAAUGGACGCAAGUCUGACGGAGCAACGCCGCGUGAGUGAAGAAGGUUUUCGGAUCGUAAAACUCUGUUGUUAGAGAAGAACAAGUGCUAGAGUAACUGUUAGCGCCUUGACGGUAUCUAACCAGAAAGCCACGGCUAACUACGUG
rnacentral:rRNA from 1 species